rnacentral:rRNA from 1 species
UACAGAGGGGGCAAGCGUUGUUCGGAAUUACUGGGCGUAAAGGGCGCGUAGGCGGCCGCCUAAGUCAGACGUGAAAUCCCUCGGCUCAACCGGGGAACUGCGUCUGAUACUGGGUGGCUUGAAUUCGGGAGAGGGAUGCGGAAUUCCAGGUGUAGCGGUGAAAUGCGUAGAUAUCUGGAGGAGCACCGAUGGCGAAGGCAGCCCCCUGGGCUAACACUGACGCUCAUGCACGAAAGCGUGGGGAGCAAACAGG